rnacentral:rRNA from 1 species
GAUUCGUCACACUAUCAUUAACUGAAUCCAUAGGUUAAUGAGGCGAACCGGGGGAACUGAAACAUCUAAGUACCCCGAGGAAAAGAAAUCAACCGAGAUUCCCCCAGUAGCGGCGAGCGAACGGGGAGGAGCCCAGAGCCUGAAUCAGCAUGUGUGUUAGUGGAAGCGUCUGGAAAGGCGCGCGAUACAGGGUGACAGCCCCGUACACAAAAGCGCAUGUGCUGUGAGCUCGAUGAGUAGGGCGGGACACGUGGUAUCCUGUCUGAAUAUGGGGGGACCAUCCUCCAAGGCUAAAUACUCCUGACUGACCGAUAGUGAACCAGUACCGUGAGGGAAAGGCGAAAAGAACCCCGGCGAGGGGAGUGAAAAAGAACCUGAAACCGUGUACGUACAAGCAGUGGGAGCACCCUUUGGG